CGCCCUGUAGUCUAAUGGUACGAUGUCGCCAGUCCACAUUUCGUUAGGAGUUUGGGGAGGUGGAGAUUGCAAGUUCGAUUCUUGUCGGGGCUU